rnacentral:lncRNA from 10 species
UUGCUGUGAGCACUGCUAUCACUGAAUUUGCAUAUAGCACUGCCAAGCUAUAUAUAAUAAUUAUUGUAUAUUUAUCUCAUUUUGCUCCAUUAGGAUUAUUUUGCCUAUGAAUGAUUUUAAAAAUAAGAAAAUUAUUAAGAGAAAAGAAUUUUGGAGUGAUUUGAAGUUUUAUUUUAUUUUAUUUUUUUAAUAGAGACAGGGUUUCACCAUGUUGCCCAAGCUGGUCUUGAACUCCUGGAUUCAAGUGAUCUACCUACCUUGGCCUCCCAAAGUGCUGGGAUUACAGACAUAAGCCACCACACCCAGCCAGUGGUUUGAGGUUUGAAUCACAACUCUGUCACAUAUUGUAAUGGACAUCUGGUGUUUUUCCCAGUCCCAGCACCCACUCUUUUCUGGAAGCAGCACCUUUCUUUUUCCUUGGGGAAUUACCCCUUUCCUAGUUUGUGCCAAUAAUCAAGAUUCGUGUCCUCCCCUGAAAAACAGUGUCAUGUGGCCCAAGUGAGGCCAAUCAGAUUCAACCUCACAAAUUCCAGUUGCGAGCCAGGCGAUCAGGAAGAGAUUGGAGCUGAUCAUCCCUCUGGCAUGUUCCUGAAGAAAUGGGCCCACUCAUGCCUGCCAUCUGGAUGCUGGAAAUUACUCUAUUUCUUAUUCUUCCCAUGAUCCAGUUGUUCACCUUUGAUUCUGUCUGCACUGUUUCAGCACCUCACUGAAACCCUCACGGAGCUUUAUGUCACCCGGUUCCGGGCACACUCCAAAAACGGUUUUAUCUCAUAGAAGCAAGGCUGCUGCCGCUGUGACAUCUGGGUUCCCUGGGGCUCCUGGUCCUAAAUGUAGCUUCUAGGAGACUUAGUUUAGGGGAAGUAAAGAAAAUGAUGUUAACUGUGGAUCACUGGGCCCUCAGGGCAGAUGCCCACCCAUCUGGAUACCGGAGAUAGCACCUGCUCCUAGUUUCAUGGCCGAUUUUGCCUGCGUCUGCUUCACUGGUUGUACCCAUGGGUGGUGACUUCUUCAGAAAGUGAUCUCAUAACCUGUUUGCACAUUGUUUUGGAAGUAAACGUUGCCAGAGAUUAAAGUAUUAAAUGUAAUCUUACUUACCCUUCUAGAGGACAUUGCGGCAAAAAUAUUCUUCCAAAGGGAUGCCUGAUAUUACAGAUGGAUCCAGGUUUUGUAGGGCCUAUGUUUAUGCAAUUUUGUAGAACUUCUUUAAUAAAAAGUAUAUAAAAAGUUGAUUUCAUAGAAGUAAAAAGUAGUAUAGAAGAUACCUGAGGCUGGGAAGGGUAAGAGGAAGGAGGAUGAUGAGAGAUUUUUGAAAGGAUACAAAGUUACAGCUAGAUAGGAGAAACAAGUUCCAGUGUUUUAUUUCACUGUAGGAUGACUAUAAUUAGUAAUAAUAUGUAGUGUCAAAUGGCUAGGAGGAUAUCAAAUGUUCUCAACACAAAAAAUAAUAAACGUUUGAGAUCUGAUCACUAAACAUUACAUGUACAGCACUAUGUACCCCAUAAAUGUGUACAAUCAUUAUACAUCAAUUAAGAAAUAAAAGAAAAAAGAAAAAGUAUUGAUACGGUUUGAUUCUGUGUCCCCAUCUAAAUUUCAUCUUGAACUGUAGUCCCCUUGUGUCAGGGUAGGGACUUCCUGGGAGGUGACUGGAUCAUGGGGGCGGUUUCCCACACGCUGGUCUCAUGAUAGUGAGUGAGUUCUCAUGAGAUCUGGUGGUUUAAAAAUGUUUGGCAGUUGUCGCUUUGCUCUUUUUCUCUCCUGCCACCAUGUAAGACGGCCUCACUUCCCCUUUGCCUUUCACCAUGACUGUAAAUUUCCUGAUGCCUCCCCAGCCACGUGGAACUGUAUAACUACAAUGAUCCUUUGCUUGAGUUUGAUCUCCACCUGGACUUGAAUCUGUAAUGAGUCAUCAGCCAGAGUCUAUGUUUCCAUCUCAGGUGCGGUGGCUAACGCCUGUAAUCCCAGCACUUUCGGAGGCCGAGCUGGGUGGAUCACGACGUCAGGAGUUCAAGACCAGCCUGGCCAAGAUGGUGAAACCCCAUCUCUACUGAAAAUACAAAAAUUAGCCAGGCGCACUGGCACACGCCUGUAAUCCCAGCUACUCGGGAGGCUGAGGCAGGGAAUUGCUUGAACCAGGGAGGUGGAGGUUACAGUGAGCCCAGAUCAUGCCACUGCACUCCAGCCUGGGCAACGGAGCGAGACUCUGUCUCACAAAAAAUAAAUAAAUAAAAGAAAAGAAAAAUAAAUAAAUAAAAAAUAAAAUCUGUAAGUUGGCAUUUUCCUUUCUUCUUUGUAUCAGUGCCUGUGCUUUGAUGAACAGGAGAGAAUAAACAUUCGGUUUACAUAAAAUUUGUUAAUGUAUUUGGC